rnacentral:rRNA from 1 species
GUUGCUUCUCCGCCGGUCGAGGACAACCGACCCCUCGCGUCCGAGGUUAAACGACGUCCCAAGUGUUACCUCCUCGGAGGCACACGUUAAAGAUCGUUCCGGGUUGUGAGUCUUGACACCAACUGUAUGAUGUUUACAACCGGCGGCGUUGGAUCCCUUGGCACGUCAUUCGAUGAAGACCGUUGCAAAUUGCGAUAAAGUGAUGUGAUGCGCAAGUCCACCACUUAUACGUGAAUCAUCGAGUUGUUGAACGCACUGCACCGCGCCCUAAUCCGGCUGCGGUAUGCCCCUUUGAGCGUCAUUGUCAUCCUUCGGGAGCCUUUCUUUGGGAAGGCCCGAGUUCGGAGUCCUCGGUCCUCGGAUCGUGUUCUCUCAGAUCCAUCAUGCCAACCGUCCAGUGGGUCCUCUAAUGCCUGAGCGUGGAGGGCUUCUGGGUUUCGAGCGGCGUUCGACCGCGUGGAGAGCGCUGGUCGCCAAGUCCGUGCGGCCCAGCCGUCGGUGCUACAACUCAUGACCUCAUUGGGGUAGGACAACCCGCUAGACUUAAGCAUAUUAAUCAGCGGAGGAAAAGAAACUAACCAGGAUUCCCUCAGUAACUGCGAGUGAA